rnacentral:rRNA from 1 species
AACGAACGCUGGCGGCAUGCCUAACACAUGCAAGUCGAACGAGACCUUCGGGUCUAGUGGCGCACGGGUGCGUAACGCGUGGGAACCUGCCCUUAGGUUCGGAAUAACUCCCCGAAAGGGGUGCUAAUACCGGAUAAUGUCUUCGGACCAAAGAUUUAUCGCCUUUGGAUGGGCCCGCGUUGGAUUAGCUAGUUGGUAGGGUAAAAGCCUACCAAGGCGACGAUCCAUAGCUGGUCUGAGAGGAUGAUCAGCCACACUGGGACUGAGACACGGCCCAGACUCCUACGGGAAGCAGCAGUGGGGAAUAUUGGACGAUGGGCGAAAGCCUGAUCCAGCAAUGCCGCGUGAGUGAUGAAGGCCUUAGGGUUGUAAAGCUCUUUUACCCGGGAUGAUAAUGACAGUACCGGGAGAAUAAGCGCCGGCUAACUCCGUG